rnacentral:rRNA from 1 species
AUUGAACGCUGGCGGCAGGCCUAACACAUGCAAGUCGAGCGUGAAAGGGCUUCGGCCUGAGUAAAGCGGCGGACAGGUGAGUAACACGUAGGAAUCUACCUAGUAGUGGGGGAUAACGUUCCGAAAGGAACGCUAAUACCGCAUACGUUCUGAGGAAGAAAGCAGGGGAUCGCAAGACCUUGCGCUAUUAGAUGAGCCUGCGUCCGAUUAGCUAGUUGGUGGGGUAAAGGCCUACCAAGGCGACGAUCGGUAACUGGUCUGAGAGGAUGAUCAGUCACACUGGAACUGAGACACGGUCCAGACUCCUACGGGAGGCAGCAGUGGGGAAUAUUGGACAAUGGGCGCAAGCCUGAUCCAGCCAUGCCGCGUGUGUGAAGAAGGCCUUCGGGUUGUAAAGCACUUUAAGCGGGGAGGAAGGCUCGAUAGCUAAUAUCUAUCGGGAUUGACGUUACCCGCAGAAUAAGCACCGGCAAACUUCGUGCCAGCCGCCGCAGUAA